rnacentral:rRNA from 1 species
AUUGAACGCUGGCGGCAUGCUUUACACAUGCAAGUCGAACGGUAACAGGCCGCAAGGUGCUGACGAGUGGCGAACGGGUGAGUAAUGCAUCGGAACGUGCCCAGUCGUGGGGGAUAACUACUCGAAAGAGUAGCUAAUACCGCAUACGAUCUAUGGAUGAAAGCGGGGGACCGUAAGGCCUCGCGCGAUUGGAGCGGCCGAUGUCAGAUUAGGUAGUUGGUGGGGUAAAGGCUCACCAAGCCAACGAUCUGUAGCUGGUCUGAGAGGACGACCAGCCACACUGGAACUGAGACACGGCCCAGACUCCUACGGGAGGCAGCAGUGGGGAAUUUUGGACAAUGGGCGCAAGCCUGAUCCAGCAAUGCCGCGUGCAGGAAGAAGGCCUUCGGGUUGUAAACUGCUUUUGUACGGAACGAAACGGCUUUGGUUAAUACCCGGAGCUAAUGACGGUACCGUAAGAAUAAGCACCGGCUAACUACGUG